rnacentral:rRNA from 1 species
AUUGAACGCUGGCGGCAUGCCUUACACAUGCAAGUCGAACGGUAACAGGUCUUCGGAUGCUGACGAGUGGCGAACGGGUGAGUAAUACAUCGGAACGUGCCCGAGAGUGGGGGAUAACGAGGCGAAAGCUUUGCUAAUACCGCAUACGAUCUCAGGAUGAAAGCAGGGGACCGCAAGGCCUUGCGCUCACGCAGCGGCCGAUGGCAGAUUAGGUAGUUGGUGGGAUAAAAGCUUACCAAGCCGACGAUCUGUAGCUGGUCUGAGAGGACGACCAGCCACACUGGGACUGAGACACGGCCCAGACUCCUACGGGAGGCAGCAGUGGGGAAUUUUGGACAAUGGGCGCAAGCCUGAUCCAGCCAUGCCGCGUGCAGGAUGAAGGCCUUCGGGUUGUAAACUGCUUUUGUACGGAACGAAAAGACUCCUUCUAAUAAAGGGGGUCCAUGACGGUACCGUAAGAAUAAGCACCGGCUAACUCUGUGCCAGCAGCCGCGGUAACAC